rnacentral:rRNA from 1 species
GACGAACGCUGGCGGCGUGCCUAACACAUGCAAGUAGAACGCUGAAGAGAGGAGCUUACUCUUCUUGGAUGAGUUGCGAACGGGUGAGUAACGCGUAGGUAACCUGCCUUGUAGCGGGGGAUAACUAUUGGAAACGAUAGCUAAUACCGCAUAACAAUGGAUGACACAUGCCACUUAUUUGAAAGGGGCAAUUGCUCCACUACAAGAUGGACCUGCGUUGUAUUAGCUAGUAGGUGAGGUAAUGGCUCACCUAGGCGGCGAUACAUAGCCGACCUGAGAGGGUGAUCUGCCACACUGGGACUGAGACACGGCCCAGACUCCUGCGGGAGGCAGCAGUAGGGGAUUUUCGGAAAUGGGGGCAACCCUGACCGAGCAACGCCGCGUGAGUGCAGAAGGUUUUCGGGUCGUAAAGCUCUGUUGUAAGUCAAGAACGGGUGUGAGUGUGGAAAGUUCACACUGUGACGGUAGCUUAACAGAAAGGGACGGCUAACUACGUG